rnacentral:tRNA from 1 species
CAGGGUGUAGGAAAGCCCGCGCAAUCCGCCUGGCCUGGAACCAGGAGAACGGAGGUUCAAAUCCUCCCGCCCUGA